rnacentral:lncRNA from 1 species
CACAGUCGUGGUGUUCAUUACAAAUUCAUAAAUCAGCAUUGUCAUCUGUGGAUAACUGUAUACUUGGGGUUCUGGUUGCCACUUCAAACUUAGUGGUGUCAAACUACAAUGAUCAUUUAUUAGUAUCAUCACUUGUGGUUCUGGGGGCUGACUGGGCUCAGAUGGGUGGCAUCUGAGACCCCAUCAAGUUGGAGGUCUCUCUUUCAGGUAGUAGCUGGAGCUGGGGUCACCUCAGGGCUUUCUGCUAAUGCUUGCUGCCUGGGAUAGGAAGACAUGAAAGACCAGAGCAGCUGAGGCUCCUGGUGUUUCUCUCUGAACAUUUACAUGGUGUUCAGGGCUCCAAAAGUGAUGGGGGGAGGGGAGCCAGGCAGCUGCUGGAUUACCUUUAUGACUUAAUCUCUGAAGUUCCAAGGCAUCAUUUCUGUUUCCCUAAAGCAAAUAGCUCAAGCUCACCCAUAUUCAAGGGGAGUGUCUCUAAGGAUUUGCAGAUGUGUUAAACCCCCCAGAGUUACAUUCAAGGGAGCCAGUCCCCACCCUGGUUGCAUUGACAAAACUGUGAAGCUACAGCCCCCAGGCUGGGGAGCAGCCCCUCACCUCCAAGGGCCUUCGAAUCCCUAGAGGGUCUGCCCCAUCUUCAGCUGCCUCCUCCAGUGAUAUCUCAGCUUCACUUCUGUCUGUAACCUAAGAGUGGCUCAGAGGCAUUGGAAGGGACAAGGCCAGGGCUCCUCUAGUGUUGUCCCCUUCAGAAGACAGCCCUUCUGCAGGGUGGUCAGCUGAGGCUCUCUGAUGUCUAGAUCGCUCCCCUCAUCUUCCAGCAAAUGACAACUGUGUGCCCUGGAUUCCCUUGCACCUGCAGCACUAUGAGGAAACUGAGACUCAGAAGGUAAAGCAGCUGCCAAGCAACAGUGGAAGGGCUGCCUCACAUCUGACUCUGCUCUGCAUCUCUCUGACCCCUCAUAGCAGCUCCAGACUCCACAGUGAGAACAGAACUGACCAGCCUGGAUGUCUGGACUCAGCCUGGCUGGGGGCAUCACCAGGGCCGCUGUCCUCCCUCCUUCCAGGGAAAUAAUCACCCCUCUUAUUUUCCCUGAAUCCAUGAUGUGGAGAGAUGAAUAAUAACCCACUGUAAGAUAUCCACAUCCUAACUCCUGGAGCUUGUGAGCAUUGUCUUACGUGGUAAAGAAGGACUUUACAGAUGUGAUUGAGUUCAAGAUCUUGAGACAGAUCAUUCGGGAUUUUUCAGGUGGGUCUUAAAUGCCAUCCAUAUUUCCUUAUAAAAGGGAGGCAGACAGAAGAGAAGGAGGUCAUAUGCCCACAGAAGUAGAGACUGGGGUGAUGUGGCCAUAAGCCAAGGAAUAGUAGCAUCCAGUGGAUUUUCCCCCAGAGCCUCUGGAAGGAGUUCAACCCAGUUAACACCUUGAUUUUGGUCUAGUGAAAAUGACUUCAGAUUUCUGGCCUCCAGAAUGGUAAGAUAAUACAUUUCUGUGGUUUUAAACCACCAAUAUCGAGGUAAUUUGUUACAAAACCAUGGGAAACUAAUACACAUGGACACGUCCAUACUCCCAAAUUUCUCUUAUUUGGUGGAAAUUUUAGUGGGGUGAACAGUGGUCCCCAAAAAUAUAUGUGCAAAUCCUAGCCCCUACUACUCAUGAAUGUGAACUUAUUUGGAUAUAGAGUCUUUGCAGGCCUAAUUAAGGACCUUAAGAUGAGAUCAUACUGGAUUUAGGGUAGGUCCCAAAUCCAAUGACUGGUAUUCUUAAGGGAAAGAAGGGAGAAAUCUGAGACAAAGAGACAGAAAAGAAGGCCAUGUGGAGACUGGUGGAGAUUGGAUUUAUGCUGCUAUAAGUCAAAGAACUCCAGAAAUGACAGAAAAGAUCCCUGUUUUCUGUUUUAUUCUAUGGAUAUCACCAGGGUCUAAAUAUUUUUUUCUUAUUCCAUGGAAAUUACUGGGGACUCAUUUUUCUCUUACUUUAUGGGCAUGACCAAGGUGCAUAUUUCUAUAAGUAGAUCAUUUUUUUAAUGUAUUUAGCCCCAUAUUCUUAUAU